rnacentral:rRNA from 1 species
CCCUUAGAUGUCCUGGGCCGCACGCGUGCUACACUGACGCCUACAGCGAGUACUUCCCAGCCCCGAGAGGUGGCUGGUAAUCAGCAAUAGGCGUCGUGAUGGGGAUAGAUCUUUGGAAUUAUGGAUCUUGAACGAGGAAUGCCUAGUAAGCGCAGGUCAUUAGCCUGCGUUGAUUAAGUCCCUGCCCUUUGUACACACCGCCCGUCGCUCCUACCGAUUUCGAGUGGUCCGGUGAAUAAUUCGGACUGCAGCACUGCUUGGUCUCCAGGCUUUGCAGCGGAAAGUUUAGUGAACCUUAUCACUUAGAGGAAGGAGAAGUCGUAACA